UCUCCCCAAAGUACACACUGGUGGAUGGUCAAAUCCCAAGAAUCAGAAGUCAAUAAAAGAAAUGAAGACCUGCUAGACCUUGAACCAGGCUAUAUACUUUGGACCAGCCGUACAAAAACUCUAGUGAAAUAAUACCUUUUGUGCUCUGUCUAUGGGUUUCCCGUCCUGACACCAGGGUAACAGUGUGUCAGAGAAAAGAACAUAACCAGACCUUCCAUGAAUUAUUGGACAUACUCUCUGAACCAAAAUGAAUUCUAGAAGAUUCAAAAUGUCACUCACUCAAUGGCUAGAGAAAAAGGUACAUGAAUGGAGAAAGAACGCCGUGAUUAAUGAAGUGUUUUAACAGCCAUGCUGAGGUUUUUGUUUUCAUCUACCCUCUGCAUAAAAUACACAUGUGAGUAUAUAUUUAAUUAAUUUCUAAGAUGGCUGUGCCAUUUCAUGUUAAGGUUCAGAGCUCCACAUCCUUUUCACAGCCUGGUCUUCCAUAUUGCCCUAAACUGAACAUGUCAUCCCAAAUUUUAUAUGGUGAAGCUCUGACUCCAAUGUGAUGAGACACAGAGAGGCGUUUGGGAGGAAAAUGAAUUUAGAUGAAACCUGAAUGGUGGGAAUCAUACAGUAGGAUUUGUAUCCUUAUAGAAAUAGGAAGAGGGGCAAAAGGUCUCCCUUGCCAGGUGAGGACUCAGAGAGACUGCAGUGGUCUCAAAGACAAACAAACUCUUACCACUUCAACUAGGAACUCGAUUUUGGACUUUCCAUCAUUACAAAU